UAAUCUGCAAGAUUCUAGAUUACAGUGUAACUUUCUGUUACAGUGACUCAAUAAAUCCAAACUUCUUUUCUCAAGUCUGUAGAUAGAUGUUGUCUUAUUCACCUCAUCUUAAGAUUUUAUCUGGACAAAGUCUUCAGACACUGUGAGACAGAAAGCCUUCUCAUCAAUCGGAAAGUCAGUGGUAUAGCCAACUCCUUCCUCAGCACUGAGAAGAAAUUCAGAGAAUGUCAUGAUCAAAAUACGUGCCAUUGUGGGGAAGAUGCAAUAAUUAAGUAUCAACAGAUCAUCAUCAACUAUGAGCAGAUGGAUGUUACAUCUGCUGCAAUGAAGUCCCUUGGAGAACUCGACAUCCUGCUUGACUGGUUAGAAGCAUAUUAGAACCUGA